AGCCGCGGUAAUUCCAGCUCCAAAAGCGUAUAUUAAAGUUGUUGCAGUUAAAAAGCUCGUAGUUGAACCUUGGGCUUGGCUGGCCGGUCCAUCUUUUUUGAUGCGUACUGGACCCAGCCGAGCCUUUCCUUCUGGCUAGCCUUUUUGGCGAACCAGGACUUUUACUUUGAAAAAAUUAGAGUGUUCAAAGCAGGCCUUUGCUCGAAUAUAUUAGCAUGGAAUAAUAGAAUAGGACGUUAUGGUUCUAUUUUGUUGGUUUCUAGGACCAUCGUAAUGAUUAAUAGGGACGGUCGGGGGUAUCAGUAUUCAGUAGUCAGAGGUGAAAUUCUUGGAUUUACUGAAGACUAACUACUGCGAAAGCAUUUACCAAGGACGUUUUCAUUAAUCAAGAACGAAAGUUAGGGGAUCG
rnacentral:rRNA from 1 species